GACGAACGCUGGCGGCGUGCUUAACACAUGCAAGUCGAACGGAAAGGCCCUGCUUUUGUGGGGUGCUCGAGUGGCGAACGGGUGAGUAACACGUGAGUAACCUGCCCUUGACUUUGGGAUAACUUCAGGAAACUGGGGCUAAUACCGGAUAGGAGCUCCUGCUGCAUGGUGGGGGUUGGAAAGUUUCGGCGGUUGGGGAUGGACUCGCGGCUUAUCCGCUUGUUGGUGGGGUAGUGGCUUACCAAGGCUUUGACGGGUAGCCGGCCUGGGAGGGUGACCGGCCACCUUGGGACUGCGAGACGGCCCAGACUCCUACGGGAGGCAGCAGUGGGAAAUAUUGCACAAUGGGCGGAAGCCUGAUGCAGCAACGCCGCGUGCGGGAUGACGGCCUUCGGGUUGUAAACCGCUUUCGCCUGUGACGAAGCGUGAGUGACGGUAAUGGGUAAAGAAGCACCGGCUAACUACGUG
rnacentral:rRNA from 1 species